rnacentral:sRNA from 1 species
AUUUUAAUCAAAUUAAUAUAUUUUAAUUAGUUUGAAGUAAAUGAACUAUUAAUUGAAUGACAACUCUCAAUAAAUGCUGAGAAUAGUCUCUCUUGCCAGUUUCUCCACUUUUCUCUUCUUCUCUCAUACUUUUUCUCUUUUUAAUUAUUAUUUAAUUGAUGAGUAUCUCAAUCAGAUAUUCCGAUGGAGAUGGUCUUACAAGUGUUACCGAGACGUACCAAUUGGCGAACUCAUAUAACUUGUGCUGUUGUGCGAAUGUGUUUUGAUUAGUGAGGGUUCUUGGGCCA